AUUGAACGCUGGCGGCAGGCCUAACACAUGCAAGUCGAGCGGAGCGGCGGACGGGUGAGUAAUGCCUAGGAAUCUGCCUGGUAGUGGGGGAUAACGUCCGGAAACGGGCGCUAAUACCGCAUACUAUCAGAUGAGCCUAGGUCGGAUUAGCUAGUGGGUGGGGUAAAGGCCUACCAAGGCGACGAUCCGUAACUGGUCUGAGAGGAUGAUCAGUCACAUGGAAACUGAGCAACGGUCCAGAUUCCACGGGGGGGAAGCGGGGGGAAUUUUUGGACAUUGGGGGAAGCCCUGAUCCACCCAGGCCGGGUGUGUGAGGAAGGUUUUCGGAUUGUAAAGCACUUUAAGUGGGGAGGCGUUCCCAACGGAAUAGGCACCGGCUAACUUCGUGCCAGCCGCCGCGGUAUUC
rnacentral:rRNA from 1 species